ensembl:lncRNA
AUGGAUGAAGGAAUGAAUGCAGGGCCGUCUCGUUCUUUGAUGGAAGCUGCAGAUAUGGAGCUGGAACCCGCGGUUUCGGUCACCCCUACCGACAGCCCCGACUGCGACCAUCAGAGACCGACCGCGGUCAGGAACCAUGGAGCUUCAGCGCCCUCCCACCUUGCCUGUUAUCCCCCGCACCCACCCCCUCCUGGGCAUCUCUCCGCCCUCGUGAAUACCCUCUCGCCCGCUUUUGAUCAAACCACGGCUGCUCCUGCAAUGUGGCCUGGGUAAUGGUUGUGGCCGGUUGCAGACGUGUGUUGCCAUGGAGGGGGGUGGGAUGGACUUCAUUUGGUCAUUUGGACUUCAAGGCUGGACGUACCACUGACUCUAUGCUUUAAUUAGAGGCUGGCAUAAUAAUUGUUUGAUCAAGACUGUAAAAGAGCCCGUUGAGAGGUGGGCCAGCGCCGGCUGUGUGUAUCCUGCUUAAAAUGCCCUGCAUAUAGAGGUAGUGGCAGUCAGGGAGGUCUCUAACUGCUUUAUAUUUAUUAAAAUUCAGAAUAAUCCAUGCAAUCAAGAGAUAAUGUACAGUCAGAUGGCCAUUUUUGUGAAAAAAAAAAAAAAAAAAAAAAAAACACCAGGGUGACCAGGAUCUCUUACACUCAUAUAUAUUAUACAUUUUCUGCUUUAAAAAACAUUAAAAAAGUUUUGUCACAUACUGUAGAUAAUAAUUGUAAGGGCAUUACUGAACCCACAAUUUAUUUGAAUUACAAAUUGAUCUCAAAAAAAUAAUUAGACAUUACAGCUUGUUUUAUUCCUUUAAAAUUGCUGUAGUAAAUAGGUGAAAUGUUUUAAUUUUUUUUUUUUACUUUAGCAUCACCAAAUUAAAUUUCUAAAUGGAACUGAAUAUUUUCAAGCAGCUUUCUCGAACACUCUCUUCUUCUGCUAUCAUUUAUGUGAAAAGUCAUAUACUUGUGUGCAUGCAUUUUUCUCAUUCAUUAUGAAUUUGUACUGCUUUGUUGCAAACUGAAAGAGCAUAAUAUAAGAACCAAAAUCAUAUUUGUGUCUCUCACGACCCUGGAGUAAGUGUUGGAUGGUUCAGAGGGGGUCAGGCUAAUAUCUGUCUGCUGUAAUGAAAUAUUGAUAAUCAAUGAUGUGGCUGACAAAUGGAUGGGUUAUGGGACGACCGUGCAAUAACACCAGCCCCUUGGUCUGGUGAAGACAAGCUCGCUUUAAUCUGCAUGCAGCCAAUGAAAAUGAUGUGAAAUGCUCUUAAAGGUGGCCCCCUUAAUGUGGGAUUAUCCCAUCACAGGAGUGACAGGGAUUAGAAUUAAUUCCAUUACAGACAUAAUCCUAACAGCUCUGCUUUCCAAGAGACAGAGAGAGAGGGAAUUGGAUAGACACGUGUAUGUGUACAAAUCUGGAAUAGGUCAGGAAUCGUAACUCACUAGAAGCCCAAACAUGGGUCGUUUGACCCUGGAUUGAAAGCGCAGCGAUGACCCGGGCCUCGUGAAAGACUGGAGUGGAGCACAAACACUGUCUGAGCCGCUGAAGGUGAUUGAAGAUGAGUGUGACACAGAUAAGGAGUUAAACGCUCGGCAUGUGUGAGUGUGUCCUCAGUAAUAGUCCUGAUAAGUGGAUGUGUACUGUGUCGGCUCUCCAGGGAGUAAACUCACUCAGAUAUAAAUCCAUUAAAGAAACACAAAAGCGAGAGACGGCCGAGACUAUUGCUUCAAACUGGAUUUCCAUAAACAACCUGAUGUGUUGUAGUGCUGGUAAUGGGAUAGACAUUUCUAUCUCCCUCUCUAUCUAUGAUGUAAUUAUUAAAAUAAUAUUGUAGUCACACUGUCU